GUGUCAGCCGCCGCGGUAAUACGUAGGUGGCAAGCGUUGUCCGGAUUUAUUGGGUUUAAAGGGUGCGUAGGCGGUUCAUUAAGUCAGCGGUGAAAUACGACAGCUUAACUGUCGAGGUGCCAUUGAUACUGGAGAACUUGAGUACUGAUGAGGUAUGCGGAAUGGACGGUGUAGCGGUGAAAUGCUUAGAUAUCGUCCAGAACACCGAUAGCGAAGGCAGCAUACUAAGGAGUAACUGACGCUGAGGCACGAAAGUGUGGGGAUCAAACAGGAUUAGAAACCCGUGUAGUCC
rnacentral:rRNA from 1 species